rnacentral:piRNA from 1 species
GCAGAUAAUAUUGCCGAUCGGGCCGAUGA